AGCCGACACCGUUAUGACGUCAUCAACUUUACUUUUUUUUAGGCUUGGCUUGAUGUUUUGUUGAUGUUGAUACAUCGAUCGGUGCAGCAGAAGACAAGAGUUGCAAUUCCUUGAAGGUGGCUCAACAAAAUGCAAGGCAUCAAAAGUAACAUCUGAUCAGUACGGUUCAAGAAGAAACGAGUGUUGAAUUCUGAUCUUUGUUUUAAAUCAAGAUUACCUUAUUUGACUCAUGCAUCUUCGGCUAAAGCGACAGACCCUGAAUUAGAGGCAGUUAAUCAAAGACUGGCUCGGACAAGCCAAAUCAAGAGGUCUGAGCCAAAUAAAAGGAACAAAUGGGACAAUAUUCCUGGUUCUGGAGCCAAGCAACACCCAACACUUGGAAACAAAGACCAAGAAUAGUUAUUUUUAAUUUAAUUUAACAAUUUAUUCUUUUACUUUACAAAAUUAACACCUACAUUUUAAAAGCUAGCUUUGGAAAAUAAAUAUGUGUGUUUUAUAAAUAAAACUAUAUUUCAACAA